UGGGAUGGGCCUGUGGCCGAUUAGCUAGUUGGUGAGGUAAGAGCUCACCAAGGCGUCGAUCGGUAGCUGGUCUGAGAGGACGAUCAGCCACACUGGGAUUGAGAACGGCCCAGACUCCUACGGGGGGCAGCAGUGAGGAAUUUUCCGCAAUGGGGGAAACCCUGACGGAGCAACGCCGCGUGCAGGAGGACGCUUUUCGGAGUGUAAACUGCUUUUCUGUGGGAAGAGCUACGGACGGUACCACAGGAAGAAGCCCCGGCUAACUACGUGCCAGCAGCCGCGGUAAUACGUAGGGGGCGAGCGUUGUCCGGAGUUACUGGGCGUAAAGGGCACGCAGGCGGUCGUACGCGUUUCGGGUGACAGCGGGUGGCUUAACUGCCCGAGUGUUCGAAAGACGGUACGACUUGAGGGCUCGAGAGGGACACGGAAUUCCGGGUGGAGUGGUGAAAUGCGUAGAGAUCCGGAGGAACACCGAAGGCGAAGGCAGUGUCCUGGCGAGUGGACUGACGCUGAGGUGCGAAAGCCAGGGGAGCGAACGGGAUUAGAUACCCCGGUAGUCCUGGCCGUAAACGAUGACCACCAGGUGUGGGAGGUAUCGACCCCUUCCGUGCCGGAGUUAACACACUAAGUGGUCCGCCUGGGGAGUACGGUCGC
rnacentral:rRNA from 1 species